rnacentral:rRNA from 1 species
UACGUAGGGUGCAAGCGUUGUCCGGAAUCAUUGGGCGUAAAGCGCGCGUAGGUGGUCAUGUAAGUCCGCUGUGAAAGUCAAAGGCUCAACCUUUGAAAGCCGGUGGAUACUGCAUGACUAGAGUACGGAAGAGGCGAGUGGAAUUCCUGGUGUAGCGGUGGAAUGCGCAGAUAUCAGGAGGAACACCGAUGGCGAAGGCAGGUCUCUGGGCCACUACUGACGCUGAGAAGCGAAAGCAUGGGGAGCGAACAGG